rnacentral:rRNA from 1 species
AUUGAACGCUGGUGGCAGGCUUAACACAUGCCAGUCGAACGGUAACAGGAAUUAGCUUGCUAAUUUGCUGACGAGUGGCGGACGGGUGAGUAAUGCUUGGGAAUCUGGCUUAUGGAGGGGGAUAACUACGGGAAACUGUAGCUAAUACCGCGUAAAAUCUUCGGAUUAAAGGGUGGGACUUUCGAGCCACCUGCCAUAAGAUGAGCCCAAGUGGGAUUAGGUAGUUGGUUAGGUAAAGGCUGACCAAGCCGACGAUCUCUAGCUGGUCUGAGAGGAUGACCAGCCACACUGGAACUGAGACACGGUCCAGACUCCUACGGGAGGCAGCAGUGGGGAAUAUUGCACAAUGGGGGGAACCCUGAUGCAGCCAUGCCGCGUGAAUGAAGAAGGCCUUCGGGUUGUAAAGUUCUUUCGGUGACGAGGAAGGUUGAUAGGUUAAUAGCCUAUCAAAUUGACGUUAAUCACAGAAGAAGCACCGGCUAACUCCGUG